AAGCGUAAAAACAAAAUACGAAGAUAUGAAAAAGAACUUAAAGAAAAAAUUAUCAAGAAAUAAAAUGGAAACAUUUAAAACUGGCGGUGGACCUGCAAAUAUACAACCACUUACUUUUGCUGAAGAAAUUCUUUUAUCUUUUUUACCGUCCACUAUUCAAGGAUCGCCUUCCGUUUUUGAUUCUGAUAGAAUAUUAGCAGAUAAACAAAUGUCAAAACGCAAAACCUCUUUAGCAGAAACAGUUGUUAUAAAAGACAAUAUAAAUGAUGAAUCUCAAACUCAAGAUACUGAUGAUCAAUUUGAAUGGAUAUAUGAAACACUUAAUGUAGAUGAAGUUAAUGAUGAAGAUAAAACAGAAAACGCAGCCUAUUUCAGUGAUGUAGAAGAUGAUACAAAAUAUACAAAUAAAAAGCGAUUACCUUUAGAAGACGUUUUUAAUACACAUUCAAGCGCACAUGUAAAAAAAUAAAACAUACGAUAUUGAUGAUAAUAAUAUAAAAAGCGUACUUGAUUUAAAAAAUGUGAAAAAAUACGUUUCGAGAACAACCUCCAAUUCAACAGAAAAGUGUACAAAAUCAGCCAAAACCGGCGUUGAUAUUCUGAGAAAAAAAGUUAGCAAGGAACUUAAGACUGAAAAUGGGAAUGCAUCAAAAUCAAUUAUAAAAACUGAUAUUAUCAAUUUAGCAAACGCAAAAGAAGAAUUAGUGCAAUUGCAAAAAACAGCUUUAGAGACAGAUAUACAAAUUAAAGAAAGAAAUAACAAUACGCAAGAAGAGAUUUUACAAAUAGAAUUGGAAAUAAGUAAAGAAAAAUUAAAAUUUGUAAAAUUAGAGAUACAACUUAAAGAACUAGAAGUGGAGAUUAAAAAACAACAACUUACAAGGCUGCUAUAAAUAGCAUAUAUAUUAUAUUAUAUAUAUACAGUAAGGUCUCUGUUAGUAGAUAGAGUGAUGAUUUUAGAUUGUUUUACAUAUUGCUUUAUGAUUACCCUUUAUAAUUAGUGGAAAUAUUACGUUCUGUUUGUUUCACUUGCGGAAAUGGCUUUGGAUAUAUAUGCGGAACUUUUUAAAUAUGAGGAUUUUUAUUUGGAAGAUUAUGAGAUUUUGAUCCGCAUUCGCAAAUCAUAUUCGGUUCGGUUAUGACCAGAUCUUUUAAAUAUGUUUGAUGGAAAUGAAUUCAUUGCACACUUUAGGUUGUAUAAAGAAAGAGUUCUCAAAAUAAUUGAUUUUAUUUGUGAUAGAAUACAAAGAAGAACAAUGAGGUAAAUGCAAUUAAUAAUUAAAUGCUAUAAGUAAAUGCUAUAAAUAGCAACCUUGUAAUUUAUAGAUUAUCUAACUAAAAAGAUUUUAUAAUUAAGAUAUUUUAUAAUUAAGAUUUUAUAGUUAUACUCUUAUAAAAUAUUAUUUUUAUAAAAUAUAUAUUAUACUCUUCAAAGACACUGACGCAUAAUCUAAAACGCUCAUUAAAAAAAAGUUAAGUUUAUAAAAAAAAAAGAGUUAAGUUCAUAAAAAAAGAUUAUAUUUUUAUAUAAUCACUUAUAAGUUGUUGCCAAAGAGAUUUUGCAUUUUGACAUUUGCUAUAAAUAGCAGUCUUGUAAUUUAUAGCUUAUCUAACUGAAAAGAUUUUAGUUAAGAUUUUAUAGUUAUACUUACACUAACAAUAAGUGUUAUAAAAUAUAUUACUUUUUUCAAAGACUGACGCACACACAUAAUCCAAAAGUUUAUUAAAAAGUUAGAAAGUUAAGUUCAUAAAAAGA